GCCUAUGGGUUGUANNCCUCUUUUUUCNAGGAGGAAUAAAAUGNCGGNACNUGAAGAAUAAGCAUCGGCUAACUCCGUGCCAGCAGCCGCGGUAAGACGGGGGAUGCAAGUGUUAUCCGGAAUCNCUGGGCGUAAAGCGUCUGUAGGUGGUUAAAUAAGUCAACUGUUAAAUCUUGNGGCUCAACCUCAAAAUCNCAGUCGAAACUGUUUGACUAGAGUAUNGUAGGGGUAAAGGGAAUUUCCAGUGNAGCGGUGAAAUGCNUANAUAUUGGAAAGAACNCCNAUGGCGAAGGCACUUUNCUGGGCUAUUACUAACNCUNAGAGACGAAAGCUAGGGUAGCAAAUNGGGAUUAGAUACCCCAGUAGUCCUAGCNGUAAACNAUGGAUACUAGAUGUUGAACAGAUCGACCUGUGCNGUAUCAAAGCUAACGCGUUAAGUAUCCCGCCU
rnacentral:rRNA from 1 species